CUGUGAGCUCGAUGAGUAGGGCGGGACACGUGGUAUCCUGUCUGAAUAUGGGGGGACCAUCCUCCAAGGCUAAAUACUCCUGACUGACCGAUAGUGAACCAGUACCGUGAGGGAAAGGCGAAAAGAACCCCGGCGAGGGGAGUGAAAAAGAACCUGAAACCGUGUACGUACAAGCAGUGGGAGCACCCUUUUGGGUGUGACUGCGUACCUUUUGUAUAAUGGGUCAGCGACUUAUAUUCUGUAGCAAGGUUAACCGAAUAGGGGAGCCGGAGGGAAACCGAGUCUUAAUUGGGCGUUAAGUUGCAGGGUAUAGACCCGAAACCCGGUGAUCUAGCCAUGGGCAGGUUGAAGGUUGGGUAACACUAACUGGAGGACCGAACCGACUAAUGUUGAAAAAUUAGCGGAUGACCUGUGGCUGGGGGUGAAAGGCCAAUCAAACCGGGAGAUAGCUGGUUCUCCCCGAAAGCUAUUUAGGUAGCGCCUCGUGAAUUCAUCUCCGGGGGUAGAGCACUGUUUCGGCUAGGGGGCCAUCCCGGCUUACCAACCCGAUGCAAACUGCGAAUACCGGAGAAUGUUAUCACGGGAGACACACGGCGGGUGCUAACGUCCGUCGUGAAGAGGGAAACAACCCAGACCGCCAGCUAAGGUCCCAAAGUCAUGGUUAAG
rnacentral:rRNA from 1 species